GAUGAACGCUGGCGGCGUGCCUAAUACAUGCAAGUCGAGCGAAGCGGGGACGGGUGAGUAAAACGUGGAUAACCUCCUAUAAGACUGGGAUAACUUCGGGAAACCGGAGCUAAACCGGUUACUUAUAGAUGGAUCUUCGCUGCAUUAUCUAGUUGGUAAGGUAACGGCUUACGAAGGCAACGAUGCCUAGCCGACCUGAGAGGGUGAUCGGCCACACUGGAACUGAGACACGGUCCAGACUCCUACGGGAGGCAGCAGUGGGGAAUCUUCCGCAAUGGGCGAAAGCCUGACGGAGCAACGCCGCGUGAGUGAAGAAGGUUUUCGGAUCGUAAAACUCUGUUGUUAGAGAAGCGGUAUCUAACGAGAAAGCCACGGCUAACUACGUGCCAGCAGCCGCGGUAAUUC
rnacentral:rRNA from 1 species